rnacentral:rRNA from 1 species
UACGUAGGUGGCAAGCGUUGUCCGGAAUUAUUGGGCGUAAAGCGCGCGCAGGUGGUUUCUUAAGUCUGAUGUGAAAGCCCACGGCUCAACCGUGGAGGGUCAUUGGAAACUGGGGAACUUGAGUGCAGGAGAGAAGAGUGGAAUUCCACGUGUAGCGGUGAAAUGCGUAGAUAUGUGGAGGAACACCAGUGGCGAAGGCGACUCUCUGGGCUGUAACUGACGCUGAGGCGCGAAAGCGUGGGGAGCAAACAGG